rnacentral:rRNA from 1 species
UAAUCUUCCCUUGAGCGGGGGACAACGUUUCGAAAGGAACGCUAAUACCGCAUAAGUUUCCAUGGCCUCCGGGGUUGUGGAAGGAAAGCUAGGUCGCAAGAUCCGGCACUCGAGGAGGAGCCUGCGUCGCAUCAGCUAGUUGGUGGGGUAAUGGCCUACCAAGGCGAAGACGCGUAGCUGGUCUGAGAGGAUGAUCAGCCACACUGGGACUGAGACACGGCCCAG